GAUGAACGCUGGCGGCGUGCUUAACACAUGCAAGUCGAACGAAGCAUUUGCGACAGAUUUUUUCGGAAUGAAGUUGCUUAUGACCGAGUGGCGGACGGGUGAGUAACGCGUGGGUAACCUGCCUUGUACUGGGGGAUAGCAGCUGGAAACGGCUGGUAAUACCGCAUAAGCGCACAAUGUUGCAUGACAUGGUGUGAAAAACUCCGGUGGUAUAAGAUGGACCCGCGUCUGAUUAGCUAGUUGGUGAGAUAACAGCCCACCAAGGCGACGAUCAGUAGCCGACCUGAGAGGGUGACCGGCCACAUUGGGACUGAGACACGGCCCAGACUCCUACGGGAGGCAGCAGUGGGGAAUAUUGCACAAUGGAGGAAACUCUGAUGCAGCGACGCCGCGUGAGUGAAGAAGUAAUUCGUUAUGUAAAGCUCUAUCAGCAGGGAAGAUAGUGACGGUACCUGACUAAGAAGCUCCGGCUAAAUACGUG
rnacentral:rRNA from 1 species